CUUGUGCACACAUGAAGACCUGCACCUGUCCACCACCACAUGCUCCACUUGUGGACUUCCUCUACAUCCUGGAGAGGUGCUGGGUGUGAGGGUAGGGCUAGGGCCAUAUGAGACACUGAUUGGAGAUACCAGGGAAGAAUGGAAAAUCAGCAGCAUCUGUGACCUUCCAUGCCUGCAGUCAAGAGACAGCUGGAGACAACCCACAGAGCAGGUUGAUCAGGAAGAUCCCCUUAGGGCCUCUUAGAGCCUGUGAAGAAAAUUAGCAGAGCCAGAGAAAGAAAAUCAGGACUGUGCCAGAGCUGGUUUAAGCUGUGAUAUGUUAGAAUGGCUCCUCAUGGUGGUCAGGGGAACCCAGAAAGGCUGUGCCUCUCAGAAGAUGGAACAGUGUAGAUUUUGAGAAUGCUGAGCAGACAGUGGGGAGGGUUUGGAGAGAAGGCUAAUGCAGAACCCUUGCUUCUUCAUGAUGAGAAAGCCAAUUCCAAACCCUGUAACACAGGUGGGGAAAACUGAGACCUGUAGUUUUCAGAUUCCCGGGCUUCAGAAGCAAAGAAAAGCAACACCAGGAAAGAGAAAAAUGGAGAGAAGGAAGAAUAAAGGAGAAGAGGAGCCCCAUCCAUCCUUAAACCAUCAUCUACCCACAUGACUGAUACAGGCCAGCUCCUCUGACGACAUGCUCAACUCCCCCAGCAACUUCUCAACUCCCUCCCUACAGAAGCAAAUGGGGGAAAGCUGUAGAGGGACAUCUCAGAAGAGUCCUCUUCCACGUUGCCCCCUAACCCUUUCAGCCUCUGGGAAGAGAUCUUUCGUUUCCGCCAGUAUCCAUCCACCAGCUUCAGGAGAUAUGGCUGGCGCCUCCAGAAGCCUUCCCCAGAGAUGUUCUCUGUGCUGCCCUUCACUGCUUCCUAGUCUCCCCACAGUGUCUUACCUGUCUCCUCCAUUCCAGUGAGGCCAGGUGCUCCGGCUCAGCAGUCGGUACCUUUCCAGGAAAGACUUGUAGCCCUGCCGGUAGGCAUAGCCUGCCCUUCGCACCCGCACAUUCUCCAGCAGUCCCAGGUACCGUGCCUGCACUGCCACCAGCUCUGAGGAGAACCGACCUUGCUGCUGAUGCUCAUUGGGCUUUAUGCACCUGGUAGGAAAUGGAGUAAAGUACAGGAUUCAGGAGCAGAUACAACUGCUGGUGGGGACUAUCCUGGUCUCCACACAACUAUUCUGCACACAGUCUCCUUAGCUGAAAAUUUCAGUGAAAGUGAACCACUCAUCUUCCCAGUUUCACUCACUACUCUGAUACUAUCCUCUCCACCUACAAGCCAUUCAGCUUCUCAUCUGGCUCUGUCUUCCAUGAAGAAAGGAUCUCUGACACCCUGUUCCAGAGACAUCCCCCACGGACAUGUUCUGCACUGCAUGGAGCCUGCACAUGUCAUCACCUAUGAAGCAUGUUCCCCUGUGUGCCCAACUUGUCACCUGAUGUAAUUGGGGUUCUUGGAAUACAGGUUCUUCAUGAGAAUUGCCACAGAAUUCUUGAACUGGGACCCAGCAGUUGGGGGGCGUUUGAGGGAUGCCUGUUUGGGAUUGCCCUCAGGGAACAAGGACCGAAGGAGAGGGUGCUGGGCCUUCCACAUGGCCUGGGACAAGUCUCGGAAGAGUAGGUCAUUAUUCUUGUCAAUGAAGCUGGUCACAUUGUACAUUACCUAUAGAGAAGCAGUUAUCGGUUUAAAAAUUCCACACACUGUUCCAGUACUGGGCCCUCACAGUCUUGUUGUAAAGUAUUGUCAGCUCUUAUCUCACCCCAAACCCCACCUCCAGCUGCCUUCAGCCUGUGCCCAGGCCCUAGUCUUUACCCAACAUUUCUGCUAUAUCACCUUGCCCGCAUAGUGGCAGAUGCGAAAGCAGCUGAGACCCAUGUUGUGGUCAUACAGGCGCUGGGCAUUCUGGGUGACUUUGCUCUCGUAGUGACUGUGGUUGCAGAAGAGCUGGUUCAGCUUCGCUAGGAAAGUAGAGUCACUGACCACCCCAGGCCGCAGGCACUCCUCAUCCAGCAUGGCCAGGAUGCCUCGUUGAUUCUGGGUCAAGGGAACAAGAUCAGUGCAACCUAGACCUGAUCAUUCAAGAUGUCCACAUUCUCAUCAUUGCCUGCUCUAGCCCUUCAUAGCCUUUGCUCUCCUUUACUAUUCUUACCAAGGGGACAGUGGAGAGAAAGACAGGGGAAGGAUGUUCUGGAAAGGGAGGUCCUAGAGGUAAGAAAAAGAUAACUCACAUGUUCAAUGAGGUUACAGAUGAUGCCAUUAUCAAAAUAUUCCACCUUUGUCCAUGGUAUACCCUGGUAAGGGGAGAGAGAAAUUGUAGGAGCAGAUUCAAAUCAAGUCUCCAAAAACCUUCCUUUUACCUAUCCUACAAAGGACCAUCAGAAAAGCCUAUAAUUCCAAGGGUCCUUAGUAUGGUUCUAUUUAUGUCCUGUCCCUUCAAGUUGGUGGAGAAUUUGAGGGGUGAGUGGACACACAAUUGGCAGGAACCAGAGCCACCUGAAAGAAUAGGUGAGACAAUGCAGGUAGUGCAGGAUGGGAGAAAAGUAUAAUAUUUUGAGUGGAGAACAGGACAGAGAUUACUCCAGUAUGGGAGUGGGGAGGGAUCCAUGUGUCUGUGGAAGAGUAAUGGCUACUCUGCUCUGACAAUAAACUCUAAGACUGGAACACUUGAGCAAGAGUUUAGCAUCAAAAAUAAAACUCAACUGAUAACACUUUCUAAGAUCUACAUCAGUAAUUUUCAGACUUGAGAGUUCAUCCUAAUCACCUGGAGGGCUUGCUAAACACAGAUUUCUGGGUCCCCAACCAAGUUUCAGAUUCAGCAGGUCUGAGAUGGUGCCCAGGAAUUUACAUUCCCAACAUGUUCCUAGGUGAUGCUAAUGUUGCUGGUCUAGGACCACACUUUAAGAACCACUGAUCUAGACCAUACUUUGGGAAAAUAUAAAACUUUAAAAAGCAAAAAUGGCACAACAGCAAAAGACUCAAAGACAAUCGUUCUCUGCUUUAGGGAAUUGUUGAGCUUCAGGCCCACAGUCAGGAUAGCUCCUAAUCUCUCCCAGGCUGAGGUCACUCCCAAAUGUGGCUAGGGAGCACAACCCUUUCUUUUUUUCCAAGUCUUUGGAGAAAGUAGAAGGAAAUUAAAUCAAGUUUCUCUCCAACUUCAUCCUAAAAAAAUCUUCCCUAACUGGUUAAAUGAAUUACAAUAACCUUAUAAUCCUGAGUAGGUAUAAAAAAGUGGAAAAAUCUCUUGCUAAGUGAUGAUAGCAAGAUACACAACACUAUAUUUACUGCCAUUUGUACAAUUUUUGUAGAAAAAUACAUUUAUAUGUUGCUUGUGUCUAUGCAAGAAACCUCUGAAAGGAGGCCCAUCUUGUUUGCCUCUGGCACGGGAUGGAAACUAGGAGGCCAGGGACAAGGAUGGCAGGGAGACUUUGUGUAUACACCUUUUUAAGCUUUUUGAAAUCUGAAGCACGGGAAUUAUUAUCUAUUUGGUAAUUUAAAUUGUUAAAAUAAAAAUACACGAAACAACUUCAAAAACUCUUUCACACAUUGUGACCAUAUUGCCUGAAAUUCUGCCACAACAGAUUCUUGAGAAUUAACAAGGAAUAUCCCUAGGAGGGUUUUGAAGAGUGAGACAGCCAUUCACACUUUGGGAUGGAUUAGCUCAAUCAGAGAACUUUUCUAACGCCUUGCCAUUGAAAACAGGAGUUUGCACUGAAUCAGGGAAGGGUUAUGGAAAUUUGGAGCCAUGGGGCACUUCCAGUGAGGAAGUCUGGAAUCAGGAUGCUAUGAGGGGAUGGCAACAUCAGCAAGCGCCCAGAGGAAACAAAGGAUUCUGAGAUGUUGGAGAAAGGCACAGAAAGGGAUGUGGGAGGAUGCCAAGCCCAAAAGAAAUGUCCCUUCUAAAUCUGGAUCACAGACUGCCAUAGGCCAUGCACAACUGUCACUUCAUUCAUGUCAGGACUCUCCACAGACACAUCCUUACAUCAAUCUAUCCGCUGCUUGGCCUGGCCUGGCCUGGAGUGGAGGCUGGGAUCACAGAGGAUGGGAGCAGAGCAUUAGGACUACUUAGUAAUGCUGAAUGCUCAGCUGUGCAAGAGAAACUUUUCAUCCUUUGUGUUCCCAUCUGGAGAUAAUUUAGAGGAAGUUGUGGUAAAGAAGAAAGGAAGAUCUGGCAUAUGUCUGGAAAUAAUUAAAACAGUAAGGGGACACUGGGGAUGUAGCUCAGUGGUGGAGUGCUUGUCUAGUAGUCAUGCGGUCCUGGGUUUGAUCCCCAGUAUUGGGAGGGGAAAAAAAAAGAGUAAGGGAAGGGAGAAGACUUAGCUUACCUCUCUCUUAUAUUCCUCUUGCUCCUCCUUCAGGGUCAAUUCUAUGAAUACCUGCUGCAGCUUCUCAUUGCAGUAGUUGAUCACAAAUUGCUCAAAGCUAUUAUCCUGAGGGUUAAAGAGAGAGAUCAGCUCACCCAAGACCUUUCCUCCCUUGCAGCCCUACCUCCAUCCUCUCACAUCCCCCCAUCAGCCUGCCCUCCGUAAUCAGGAAGCAGGCUGCUGAGGUUGGGUGAGACUCUCUCACCUCUAAUAUCUCAAAACCGUAGAUAUCCAGGACCCCCAUUACCUUCUUCUUCUCUCCAAUGCCUACCUGAAGAGGAGAAAAGAUAAAUCUAAGGUCAGGCCCUAUGAGCACACCAGACCAGGCCCUUCUGGAGCAGACAGGGUCAGAGUGGGGGCAAAGAGGACUAGAAUGAGUUUGACCAAGCUGAAAAGGAACUGUAGUAUCUUAUUCUCCUUCUCCCUCCAUAAGCUGCAGGAUAAGCAGAGGAGGAGGAAGGAAGAAAAGGAAGAUAGAAAUAGAUUCCAGGAUGAUGUUCCCAUGAUAUGAGGUAGAAAGACAUUAAAAUCCUUUCAGGAUAAUAACUAUCUCUUAUGUUUAUAGAGCAUUUACAAUGAGCUUAUUUAAUGAGCUUAUCAUAACCUUAUAAAGUAUGAUUAUUCCCAUUUUUCAGACCCAAAAAAAAAUCAAAUUUCAAAAGGGAAAAGCAAUUACCCCAGCCUAAAUUCAAGUCUCAUCUUACCUGCUGCCUUUCAGUAGUAGCUUCUAAGUAGACAGUACUUUCAUGUAGAUAAUUGCUUAAAAACAGCUUUAUUUGGGCUUGGGGGUAUAGCUUAGGAUCUUUGUGAAAUUGAAAGACCACAUAGCUGGGAAGUAGAUGAAUCAGACUGUCAAACUCAAACACCAGUGAUGUUGCCACAACACAUGGAAAGGAGCUGUACCCUUCCCCCAUCUUCUUUCCAUCCAUCUCAGAAACCAAGGAAUGGAGAUGGGGGCCAAUGUAAGAAGCCGCAGCAGGCAGAGGGCAUUGAGGGAAGAGGCCCAUCACUCACUUUGAUGCUCUCAUUGAUUCGAUUCACUAUCCAGUUGAAGAGGCGGCUAUAGAUGUUCUUAGCCAGAGCAUCACGAGCAUACUGAGCCUGCAGGGAGCACGGGCAACUUGGUUAGUGUGGCAGCCACAAAAAAAGACUCAAAAGCAGCCCCUUUCAGGAAAGUCCUUACCUGGAUGACAUUCAGUACGGUGACCACCUUUUCCUUGGCUGUUUCCAUGGUCCUUGAGCACAAAGCUCUCUCAAGUUCCUCAGAAUUCAAACCCACCAUCUCCCCAAUCUCCUGAACACCUGGAGUGAUGAGGAAAUAGAACCUGGCCAAAGAAGGGGCUUCCCUCUGGGGAGAGGAUAAUAAGUGAAGCUGUCUGUGAGACUGACACCCUGGGUCUUGCUGGGGAAGUCACUAUAGCUAAUUCAGAACAUGGCCCUGGAGGAAUGGGGGUGGGGCAGGCACUGUGGGUGUUGGGAUCUAGGCACUCUGUGUGCAACCUCUACUUUAAUAUGAAUAUCUCCUGAAAUAGUUGUGAUUACCCCUAUUUUGCAUAAGAAGCAACUGAGACUGAGAAAUCUUGGAACCAGUUCUAUUAAACUUUACCACCUCA